UUGGAGGGCAAGUCUGGUGCCAGCAGCCGCGGUAAUUCCAGCUCCAAUAGCGUAUAUUAAAGUUGUUGUGGUUAAAAAGCUCGUAGUUGAACCUUGGGCCUGGCUGGCCGGUCCGCCUCACCGCGUGUACUGGUCCGGCCGGGCCUUUCCCUCUGUGGAACCCCAUGCCCUUCACUGGGUGUGGCGGGGAAACAGGACUUUUACUGUGAAAAGAUUAGAGUGCUCCAGGCAGGCCUAUGCUCGAAUACAUUAGCAUGGAAUAAUAGAAUAGGACG
rnacentral:rRNA from 1 species